AUGGUGAGAGUCUGAGUCAAUGGAUUUGGCCAUAUUGGAUACCUGGUCACCAGGGCAGCUUUCAACUCGGCAAAAUGGACACUGUCAUCAUCAAUGAUCUCUUCACUGGCCUCAACUCCAUGGUCUACAUGUUCCAGUAUAUUUCAUGACAAGUCCAAUGGCACAGUCAAGGAAAGAGAACAGGAAGCUUGUAAUCAAAGGGAAGCCCAUCUCCAUCCUCCAAGAGCAAGAUCUCGCCAACAUCAAAUGAGGCAACACUGGUGCUGAAUAUGGUGCAGAGCCCACUGGCGUCUUCAGCACUACGGAGAAGACUGGGGCUCACUUGAAGUAGCCAAAACUGUCGUCAUCUUUGCCCCUUGUGCUCUUGUGCAGAUCCAUGUUUGUGGUGGGUGUGAACCAUGAGAAGUAUGAAUUAUCUUCUCGAGAUUGUCAGCAGUGCCUCCUGCACUAUCAACGUUUGGCACCCUUGGCCAAGGUCAUCUAUGACUACAGUCCAUGCCACUACUGCCACCCAGAAGACUGUUGGAGAAACUUUGGCGUGACUGCUGCAGAACAUCAUCCCUGUAUCUACUAGUGUGGCCGAGGCUAUGGGCAAGGUCAUCCCUGAGCCAGAUAAGAGGCUCACAGGUAUGGCCUUCUGUGUUCCCACCCAUAAUAUGUUGGUUGUGGCUCUCAUCUGCCAUCUGCAGAAAGCUGCCAAAUAUGAUGGCAUGAGAAGAUGCUGAAGCAGGUAUCGGAGGGCCCCCUCAAGGGCAUUCUGAUCUACACUGAGGACCAAGUUGUCUCCUCUGACUUUAAGAGUGGCACCUGCACUCUUCUACCUUCAAUGCCACGACUGGCAUUACCUUCAAUGGCCACUUUGUCAGGCUCCUUUCCUGGGAUGAAUUUGGCAGCAGCAACAGGGUGGUGGACCUUAUGGUCCACACGGCCUCCAAGGAGUAA
rnacentral:lncRNA from 1 species